GAAGGAGACUGAGGCUUCUUUGGUGUGGAAUUGUGACACCACCUUUGGCAGGAAGGCCGGAUGGGGGCGUAAUUGGAUCUUGUCCUUGAAGAACACCGUGUAAGGUGGCUCUGACGUAAGGGCCCUGAUCUCAGAGACCCUUCUGGCUGAGGUAUCACCAGCAGAAAGGCAACCUUCCAAGGGAGAAGUAGCAGGGAGCACAGUGCUAACAGCUUGAAGGGGGGGGACCCAUAAGCCUUGACAGGACCAGGUUUAAGUCCCAUGGAGGGCCAGUUCAUGAAUCUGAGGAUAGUCUUUCCAACCCCUUGAAAAACUGGAUGGUCAUUCCGUGGGAGAACAUGGCUCUGCCAUUCACUGGGGGGAUGGAAGGCUGAGCUGGCUAAUAGAUGAGAGGGCCAGACCUUGCUGCUUUAGGUGAAGCAAACAGUCCAAGAUAGACUGAAGAGAAGACUGGGAGGGAGAAAGAUCCUGUUCGGAGGCCCAACAAGUGAAACAUUUCCACUUGGCCAAGUAGGUAGCCCUGAAGGAAGACUUUCUACUACCUAGCCAAGAUCUGCCAAACCUGUUCCGAGCAGGCCUGUUCUUCAGGGUUCAGUCAUGCAGCAUCCAUGCAGUUAGGUGCAGGGAGGUUCGAUUCAGGUGAAGCAACUGGCCGUGGAAAUUGUGAAAUCAACUCUGGGCAGGGUGGAGCUAUCACCAAGAAGUCCAAAAGUGUACCAAACCAAUGUUGCAUGGCCACACCAGUGCUAUCAGGAUAACUCUUGCCUUUUCCCGUGUGAUUUUUAGGAGAACCUUGUGAACCAAGCCAAUCAUUGUAAAGGUGUACAGUAGGUAGCCUGCCCACAAGAGCAGGAAGGCAUCAGAGAGGGAGCCUGUACUGUGCCCAUGCAGUGAACAGAAUUGAUGCCAUUUUCUGUUCUGCCUGGUGGUGAAUGGGUUCAAGUGGAGAGGCCUCCACUUUUGGAAGAUGACACUGAUGACCUCUGGAUGAAGACACUACUUGUGGUGAGAGGAAAAGGAUCUUCUGAGGUGACCCGCCAAUAUGGACGGAGAUGAGAUGCUUCAGGAUGAAUGGAGUGUCUCGCACAGAAAUCCCCAUAGAGCGAUGGCCUCCUAACACUGGGCAGAGGAUCAGGCCCCUCCUUGCUUGUUGAUAUAGAACAUGGCUGCAGUAUUGUCUGUCAGGACUUGAACCACCUUGCCUGAGACCUGGGGAAGGAACAAUGGCAAGCCAGAUGUACUGCCCUGAGCUCCCCUGAUGCUUAUGU